rnacentral:rRNA from 1 species
GAUGAACGCUAGCUACAGGCUUAACACAUGCAAGUCGAGGGGCAGCAUCAUCAAAGCUUGCUUUGAUGGAUGGCGACCGGCGCACGGGUGAGUAACACGUAUCCAACCUGCCGACAACACUGGGAUAGCCUUUCGAAAGAAAGAUUAAUACCGGAUGGCAUAAUUAUUCCGCAUGGGAUAAUUAUUAAAGAAUUUCGGUUGUCGAUGGGGAUGCGUUCCAUUAGGCAGUUGGCGGGGUAACGGCCCACCAAACCUACGAUGGAUAGGGGUUCUGAGAGGAAGGUCCCCCACAUUGGAACUGAGACACGGUCCAAACUCCUACGGGAGGCAGCAGUGAGGAAUAUUGGUCAAUGGACGAGAGUCUGAACCAGCCAAGUAGCGUGAAGGAUGACUGCCCUAUGGGUUGUAAACUUCUUUUAUACGGGAAUAAAGUGAGCCACGUGUGGCUUUUUGUAUGUACCGUAUGAAUAAGGAUCGGCUAACUCCGUGCCAGCAGCCGCGGUAAUACGGAGGAUCCGAGCGUUAUCCGGAUUUAUUGGGUUUAAAGGGAGCGUAGGCGGGUUGUUAAGUCAGUUGUGAAAGUUUGCGGCUCAACCGUAAAAUUGCAGUUGAUACUGGCGACCUUGAGUGCAACAGAGGUAGGCGGAAUUCGUGGUGUAGCGGUGAAAUGCUUAGAUAUCACGAAGAACUCCGAUUGCGAAGGCAGCUUACUGGAUUGUAACUGACGCUGAUGCUCGAAAGUGUGGGUAUCAAACAGGAUUAGAUACCCUGGUAGUCCACACAGUAAACGAUGAAUACUCGCUGUUGGCGAUAUACAGUCAGCGGCCAAGCGAAAGCAUUAAGUAUUCCACCUGGGGAGUACGCCGGCAACGGUGAAACUCAAAGGAAUUGACGGGGGCCCGCACAAGCGGAGGAACAUGUGGUUUAAUUCGAUGAUACGCGAGGAACCUUACCCGGGCUUAAAUUGCAACUGACGGAACCGGAAACGGUUCUUUCUUCGGACAGUUGUGAAGGUGCUGCAUGGUUGUCGUCAGCUCGUGCCGUGAGGUGUCGGCUUAAGUGCCAUAACGAGCGCAACCCUUACGGGUAGUUACCAUCAGGUUAUGCUGGGGACUCUACCCGGACUGCCGUCGUAAGAUGUGAGGAAGGUGGGGAUGACGUCAAAUCAGCACGGCCCUUACGUCCGGGGCUACACACGUGUUACAAUGGGGGGUACAGAAGGCAGCUACACGGCGACGUGGUGCUAAUCCCAAAAGCCUCUCUCAGUUCGGAUUGGAGUCUGCAACCCGACUCCAUGAAGCUGGAUUCGCUAGUAAUCGCGCAUCAGCCACGGCGCGGUGAAUACGUUCCCGGGCCUUGUACACACCGCCCGUCAAGCCAUGAAAGCCGGGGGUACCUGAAGUACGUAACCGCGAGGAGCGUCCUAGGGUAAAACUGGUGAUUGGGGCU